UCAACCAGUGAGAUGGUUUUCUCCUCACAGUCCAGACCGGCUUUGGAAAAGGGAUGUGUGUUUUUAUAACUGCAAACCACUUACUCAUCUGAGUCCUUUUUGCUCUCCUCAAUGUAGGCGAUGGACUCCGAACGAAGCCGGUUGGUGACCUCAUAGGUACGCAGGGUGACACCAAAGAUGUCCUCAUGAUAGCGGUUCUCAUCCUGGAUUCAGGUGAAAGACAAAACGGGAGGAAAAUUGUCUCCCGUGCUAUACACCACUCUACACCCUACCCCUCAGACUGCCACCAUUCCACUACGCCUCUUCAGUCUGCCUGCCUGCCUCCUGCCAUCAUCAGCCAUGCUCGCCUAGCCUCACCUGUGUUCAGGAAUGAUUUUGGAUUUUCUCCAUCUACUAUUGCACUAUAAAAUGAUUCACUGACAGUGCUGAUUCAGUCCAUUUGUAUUCUACCCAGCUUCAAAACCUUGCCUGUUUAACUGGGGGAUGAUUGCAUUGCUCAAUGGCACCUCUGCAACGGUGGAGAGCACUUCACACUACCACUACACCAAGCGUUUCAGUGUUGUUUAAUGGUGAACAUCAUGAAGACAAUGCUGUACAAUGAACUGCACUGUUUCCCUCGCUCUUACCCGGAGCUUGCUGAUGAAGAAGCCAGCAUCCUCUAGGCUCAUGUUGCCCUCCUGUUUGAUGAUAUGCUGGACAGUCUUGAGAACAUCUCCGGCCAUUGUAACAUCCCCACACACAUAGAUGUGUCCUCCCUCCUCCUUCAGGCACUGGUACACCGUCUCUGACAGCUGCUCGCGCAGUGCAUCCUGUACAUAUUUCUGUCAGAGAGGCAGAGGAGGAAUGAUGUGUGCAUGAAGAAGUCAAGUGUGAAAAAACAGUAGGAAAGGAAACAAUGUGAAAAAACAGAGUCAGGAGACCACUAACAUAUAGGGGAAUAAAAUAAAAUGGGGUAGAAUUUGUAAACUGAAAGCAAGCUGAAAGAUUGUUGGUGUGUCCAGGUACU